UACAGGGGGGGCAAGCGUUGUUCGGAAUUACUGGGCGUAAAGGGCCAGUAGGCGGCCAACUAAGUCCGACGUGAAAUCCCCAGGCUUAACCUGGGAACUGCGUCGGAUACUGGAUGGCUUGAAUUCGGGAGAGGGAUGCAGAAUUCCAGGUGUAGCGGUGAAAUGCGUAGAUAUCGGGAGGAAUACCAGUGGCGCAAGCGGCGCCCUGGCCGUGACCUGACACUGAGCCACGACGGCGUGGGGAGCAAACGGG
rnacentral:rRNA from 1 species